rnacentral:rRNA from 1 species
AGAGUUUGAUCAUGGCUCAGAUUGAACCGGCUGGCGGCAUGCCUUACACAUGCAAGUCGAACGGUAACGGGCCUUCGGGUGCCGACGAGUGGCGAACGGGUGAGUAAUGCAUCGGAACGUACCUUCAGUGGGGGAUAACGUAGCGAAAGUUACGCUAAUACCGCAUAUUCUGUGAGCAGGAAAGCAGGGGAUCGCAAGACCUUGCGCUGAUUGAGCGGCCGAUGUCAGAUUAGCUAGUUGGUGAGGUAAAGGCUCACCAAGGCGACGAUCUGUAGCGGGGUCUGAGAGGAUGAUCCGCCACACUGGAACUGAGACACGGUCCAGACUCCUACGGGAGGCAGCAGUGGGGAAUUUUGGACAAUGGGGGCAACCCUGAUCCAGCCAUGCCGCGUGAGUGAAGAAGGCCUUCGGGUUGUAAAGCUCUUUCGGCCGGGAAGAAAUCGCAUGGGUUAAUACCCUGUGCGGAUGACGGUACCGGCAUAAGAAGCACCGGCUAACUACGUG